UACGAAGGGGGCUAGCGUUGCUCGGAAUCACUGGGCGUAAAGCGCACGUAGGCGGAUCUUUAAGUCAGGGGUGAAAUCCUGGAGCUCAACUCCAGAACUGCCUUUGAUACUGAGGAGCUCGAGUCCGGGAGAGGUGAGUGGAACUCCGAGUGUAGAGGUGAAAUUCGUAGAUAUUCGGAAGAACACCAGUGGCGAAGGCGGCUCACUGGCCCGGUACUGACGCUGAGGUGCGAAAGCGUGGGGAGCAAACAGG
rnacentral:rRNA from 1 species